AAAUUUAUUAUUUUUUUAUAAUAGACACUUUGGACAAGCACUGUGUAAACGUGUGCGUAUUACGUAAACGUUACUUUGUCACGGAUACGUAUACGUAUGCUGUGAGUUAAGGUUGCUUUAGUUAGGACUGUGUUUUUCUAAGGUAGCGUAUCUGACGUUUAGAAUAUUCGGUUACUCUGAUGUCAACAUUUUUAAGAAUCGAAAAUGGGUAAAUUUAAAGACGCUGCUUGGAAAAAGUUAUGUUUAGCUGGAGUAAUAACAACUGAAGACUAUUGGAAAAUAUGUAAAAAACGAACAUUGCACUAUAGCAGAAUUUGCUCCUACAGUCGAAAAAAAUUUGAUUUAUCAAAAUAUUCAGAUGACGAUGCAAAAAAUUUGUUUCGAUUUACACAUUUUCAAAUUUAUACACUGGUAAAUUUACUGCGGAUCCCACAAAAUUUCACUGUUCAUAGAAGUCGAUGUACUGGUAAGUGUUCCUAGUUAGGUUCAGCAUUUGUAUGGUACUUGAUCACACAAACCAACUUAUUUCCAGGAAUAGAAGGCUUAUGUAUAUUACUUCGCCGCUUAAGCUAUCCAAAUAGAUUAUGUGAUCUUGUGAACAUCUUUCAUAGAGAUCCGUCUACAAUUUCACGAAUUUUCAAUUACAUGGUAAAAUUUGUUUAUUUUAGAAACAAACACCGUGUUCAGUCCUUAAAUCAAUGCUGGAUACUUAAUAGAUUGGAAGAAUUUGCGCAGUGUUGCGUAGCAGCUGGGUCAAUGUAUCCAAACAUUAUUGGAUUUAUUGAUGGCACUGCGAGAGCCAUAUGCAGGCCAAAAUACAAACAGAGAGAUUUCUAUAGUGGCUACAAAAAGCAACAUAUGCUGAAG